CGAACGCUGGCGGCAUGCUUCAUACAUGCAAGUUGAACGCCCCGCAAGGGGAGUAGCGGAAGGGUGAGUAACGCGUAGGAAUCUGCCUUGGAUUGGGGGAUAACCUGGGGAAACUUGGGCUAAUACCGCAUAUUGCCGAAAGGUGAAAGAUUUAUUGAUCCAAGAGGAGCCUGCGUAUGAUUAGCUAGUUGGUAGGGUAAUAGCCUACCAAGGCUACGAUCAUUAGCUGGUCUGAGAAGAUGACCAGCCACAAUGGAACUGAGAUACGGUCCAUACUUCUACGGAAGGCAGCAGUAGGGAAUUUUGCGCAAUGGGGGAAAGCCUGACGCAGCAAUGCCGCGUGUAGGAAGAAGCAUCUUGGUGUGUAAACUACUGUCGGUGGGGACAAACACAAUGAUUGUACCUGCAGAGGAAGCAUCGGCUAACUACGU
rnacentral:rRNA from 1 species